GUGAGGAAUAUUGCGCAAUGGAGGCAACUCUGACGCAGCCAUGCCGCGUGCAGGAAGAAGGCGCUACGCGUUGUAAACUGCUUUUAACCGGGAAGAAACCCCAGGACGUGUCCUGGGUUGACGGUACCGGAGGAAUAAGCACCGGCUAACUUCGUGCCAGCAGCCGCGGUAAUACGAAGGGUGCAAGCGUUAUCCGGAUUCAUUGGGUUUAAAGGGUGCGUAGGCGGAGCGGUAAGUCAGUGGUGAAGUCCUGCAGCGUAACUGUAGACUUGCCAUUGAUACUGGCGCUCUUGAGUGCGCUUGAAGUGGGCGGAAUGUGCCGUGUAGCGGUGAAAUGCUUAGAUAUGGCACAGAACACCAAUUGCGAAGGCAGCUCACUAAGGCGAUACUGACGCUGAGGCACGAAAGCGUGGGGAUCGAACAGGAUUAGAAACCCUUGUAGUCC
rnacentral:rRNA from 1 species